ensembl:snRNA U6 U6 spliceosomal RNA
GUGCUCACUUCAACAGCACAUAUACUAAAAUUGGAAAAAUACAGAGAUUAACAUGGCCACUACACAAGGAUGACAUGCAAAUUCAUAAAGCAUUACAUAUUUUU